CAACUGUUUUAAAUCUUUAUGCAUUUUAUCUAAUUUAGUCAGCUAUAGUUUUAAGUUAUAGGUUUAAACAUAAGUUGUUGCUUUUCACCAUUUAAUGGGUUAAACUAAUUUAUCUUUUAUCCCACGUUAAUUCUGGAUAAAUUGAGUCCAUUUAUUGUUUAACAUCAUUAAUCAUUACUCUGCCUUUUGCUUUUUGACUUCCCCACAAUGUAACUUCUCCUUUGUUAUUGCAGAACACAAAAGUAUUAUCACAUAUUAUCGAGUGCAUUCAGGGUAGAGUAGGUUAUUUUCAUGACAAUAAUAGGGAAAUAAUGUAAAUCAAAUCCAAAAUGUAAUGAAAUAUUAAAUGUUUGAACCUUCAACAUGAGUAUAACGUCCCUCUCUGCAAUGACACCCAUUGUAUUCAAAAUGUUCAUCCCUCUUACAGUAAUAAGACAGUUAUUACAGUAAUAGUGAGUGGUGGGCUGUGAAUCUCAUUGAGAUAUAUCUCCUGUAUGGUUUUAUUCUCCUCUGUAAACCUCCAGGUGUGGAGACCUUCUGCAACGCCACACAGCCACACAUCACGACCCAGUGCUUUGGCUCUCUGGGAGGAACCGUAGAGGUCCAGAUGCUUACUCAGUACUCACAAGAUGAUACCUUCAGACUGAAGAAGAACAAUGUCACGAUUUUAUCAGAACGCAAUCAGACAAACAUUCGAUAUUCAUUUAAUGUCAGUACUGGAAUAUUUACUAUAAAGGACAUCGACAGGAAAGACAAUGGUGAAUACUCAAUGGAAGUAUAUGACCGAGAAGCUGGAAGGCUAGUGGCAUCUACAAAAUGUUAUUUAACCAUUCAAGCCCCGGCCUCCUCUCCCCUCAUGUCCCGGGAGUGUCUGUCCUGGGGACAGCAGAGGGUGUCCUGCUCUGCCGGGGGGGACGGACUCCACUACAGCUGGAGUCUAGACGGACUCCCGCUGAACGACCCGCGUCUCCUCUCCGGACCCAGUAGCGCUAGUGACGUCACUCUGGAGCCGGGCCGGUCGGGACUGGUCACCUGCUCGGUCCACAACAUCAUGAGCAACGCCACGGCCAACAUCACCUUGUCUGUGUGUGACGGUGUGAAGACCGUCUGCGACGCCACACAGCCACGCGUCACGACCCAGUGCUUUGGCUCUCUGGGAGAAACCGUGGAGGUCCUGAUGCCUACUCAGUCCUCACAAAAUGAUACCUUCAGACUGAAGAAAGACAGAGUCACGAUUUUAUCAGGACGCAGUCAGACAAACAUUCGAUAUUCAUUUAAUGUCAGUACUGGAAUAUUUACUAUAAAGGACAUCGACAGGACAGACAAUGGUACAUACUCAAUGGAAGUACAUAAUGUAACUGGAAUGGGAGUAGCAUUUACAAAAUGUUAUUUAAACAUUCAAGCCCCGGUCUCCUCUCCCCUCCUGUCCCGGGAGUGUCUGUCCUGGGGACAGCAGAGGGUGUCCUGCUCUGCCGGGGGGGACGGACUCCACUACAGCUGGAGUCUAGACGGACUCCCGCUGAACGACCAGCGUCUCCCCUCCGGACCCAGUAGCGCUAGUGACGUCACUCUGGAGCCGGGACGGUCGGGACUGCUCACCUGCUCGGUCCGCAACAUCGUGAGCAACGCCACGGCCAACAUCACCUUGUCUGUGUGUGACGGUGUGGAGACCGUCUGCGACGCCACACAGCCACACAUCACGACCCAGUGCUUUGGCUCUCUGGGAGGAACCGUAGAGGUCCAGAUGCUUACUCAGUCCUCACAAAAUGAUGCCUUCAGACUGAGGAAGAACAAUGUCGCGAUUUUAUCAGGACGCAAUCAGACAAACAUUCGAUAUUCAUUUAAUGUCAGUACUGGAAUGUUUACUAUAAAGGACAUCGACAGGACAGACAAUGGUGCAUACUCAAUGGAAGUACAUAAUGCAUCUGGAAACCAAGUAGCAUUAAACUAUUGUUAUUUAACCAUUCAAGCCCCGGUCUCCUCUCCCCUCCUGUCCCGGGAGUGUCUGUCCCGGGGACAGCAGAGGGUGUCCUGCUCUGCCGGGGGGGACGGACUCCACUACAGCUGGAGUCUAGACGGACUCCCGCUGAACGACCCGCGUCUCCUCUCCGGACACAGUAGCGCUAGUGACGUCACUCUGGAGCCGGGCCGGUCGGGAUUGCUCACCUGCUCGGUCCGCAACAUCGUGAGCAACGCCACGGCCAACAUCACCUUGUCUGUGUGUGGCGGGCUCGUCCCGUUCAUCGUUCGUCCUCUGACGGUGGUGCUGCUGCUCCUAGCAGCAUUGGGAGUCUACUGGGCCCUAAAGAAGAAGAAAACCUCCAGCCCCCGAGACAUCGCGCUGUCCUCCAUGGCGGUAGAUGAUGGUGUGACGUACGGUAACGUCUCCGGGGCGACCGGGAGGGCAGGGGGACAGUGAGGCGGAGUACGGGGCGGUCAGGGUGGCUCCAGGCCCCAGGCGGACGCGGGAGACCAAUGUGGGCGAGCUAGUGCGCGCUCAGCCCAGGAGGACGAGGCCCUGAGAGCUGUCACCACCCAGAAGGACGCGUAGACAGCGCUUUAGCCAGAGAGCCAUCAGCCCACUGACAUUAGACCUGCCAGGGACACUUCUCUCCCUGCAUCUCAAAGGCCACUUCGUUUGAAAAUGUGAAUGUUUAUUCGGCCGAGGUUAUGUUCAUAUUUAUGUUCAUAAAGCCGUUCACAUGUAGUUUAAACCGUGUAGUAGUCAAAUCUCAACUCUUAUUUUUAUUAUUAAUAGUAUCUAUUUUUUCCUCUGUUGUUGUCCACGGUGGCUUCCUGGGUCAAGGAUAGAAACUGAUCCAAUCAAAUAAUUGUGAUAGCUCGAUCUCUGAAAGCAAUAUUCUGCAUGUGAAACUCUUAACAUAUAACUACUAUUUUCUUUAUACUAUACUGAAUGUGUAACUUUAUUUCAUUAUUUUUUACACUAUUAUGUAUGUGUAACUGGCUUGGAUGCAUGUCUGUAUGAUAUAUACUAUUUUUUUAAAGAGUAGGCCUACUUCAUCUUUUGUGUUCUAUAAACAUUAAGGUUCCAGACAUGUAAAUUGAAGCACUUACACACGGUACACGCACGCACGCAUACACACACACACACACACACACACACACACACACACACACACACACACACACACACACACACACACACACACACACACACACACACACACAAUUUGAUGGCACUUUUAUUCAUUUUACCCUUGUUUUACUGUUUCAAAAUCCAGUUGACAUCUUACCAUACCGAGGAGAUAAUUUACAACAAAAAUAUAGAUUCUAGGUUUGAGUCUUCAAAUUUCUAGAUAGUGCUCUAGUGUAAAUGUUCAACCCGGUAUCACGCCAAAGCGUGAAAUAGAUAUAUCUUGGUCGACCUCGCAAGGCGUGUUCAGUGCCACGCUUUGCCUGACCAAAGCGUGAGGAGAAGACGCUUUCUUCCGCUCAUCUAAAUGAAUGGAGGACAAACGGUCCGAAGGGCCGUUUGUCCGACAUUUCAAAAAGGAGCCGCAUUAGGCCGACGGUUCAAUUUGCCGAAUAGGCCUACUGUCGUCUAGUUUUUCUGGGAUCGGAGUGUAGGAGAGCGGGACCACUACUGGGCCCGCCUAAGUUAAACAAAGACCACUCAAUCCGUGGUUUACUGGUUGCAAAGCUGAUUAGUUUAAUUCUGGUUGUACAACACAAAAUAUGUUCUCUCUAAACAGGUUCGAAUAAAAUGCGGCGGGUUACAACGCAGCGCUGAGUUCCUUGGCGGACGACCUCUCCUCGAGUAGGAUGGUCGUGUAAAUCGCGCCGAGCCGAAGCUGGCGUGUGCUUCUUAUAGGCCUGGCUCCUCCCCGGGGCCAGUCCAGUAGUUCUCUACCGCUAUCCAUCGGUUUGACACCUUCGCCUCUCGUGAUGGCAGUUGGCGCUCCGCCAAACGCCUUCCUCUUUGUCACUCUGUCUGGACAAAACAGGAUGCACUCUUCUUGACCCCCUAUCUCUCUACAUGCCCACGUUAUUGAUCCUCGAUGCUGGUUGGUUUAAGCACAUUAGCAACUGGGUACAUUAUGUUACUUCAGGCCAUCUUCGCUAGGCCCAGGUAUAUCUUCAUACAACACUACAUAUAAAGAGUUUUAUACCUCGCUCGCGCUCUCUCUCUUUUGUCACUUUGCUCUCCAAUAUUCUUAGUGAACAUGAUAUGUAUGCUUAGGUUGUUUUUUGGUGCUUUGUGUGUGUGUGUGUGUGUGAGAGAGAGAGAGAGAGAGAGAGAGAGAGAGAGAGAGAGAGAGAGAGAGAGAGAGAGAGAGAGAGAGAGAGAGAGAGAGAGAGAGAGAGAGAGAGAGAGAGAGAGAGAGAGAGAGAGAGAGAGAGAGAGAGAGAGAGAGCUCUUUAUAUUUAGGCAUAUUGAACUAAUGCGCCUCUUGUUUGACUUAUCGGACAAACGGCCCUUCCGAACAAUGGGUUCCGUUUUCGUAACAUUGAACCGUCGGCAUGUCGAUCUAAUGGGAAAUAUUUCGGACCAUUGAGACGUCGAAACAAUGAGGGGUCGGAAUUACGGCAUGGCACCAACUCAGGAGAAGGAAUGACCUCUCACAAAUAUUUAUUUAAUAAAUUGUUUCAAAUAACCCUGCCUCGUUAAAUCAAUGAGCUUGGUGUUUUGCUUUAAAAAAUAGGUUAUAGAAGAAGUCUAAACAGCAGAAAAUCAAAACAUCCAAGCUGCCUUUUAAGGAUACCUUGGAAUAUCCGUCUAUUUUUUAACCAUCGGACCCUAGUUUACGACAAAAACAACACAAUUGACGGCAGCUCCUUUGCCGCGUGGUUUUUAGAGCCAUGUAAGUAUUAGAGGGUGCGGUCGAUAGCAACCACCAUAGCAACCAUGACGGUCAAGAGACUGGAUUUAUUUUUAUUUUAUUGCUUUAGUUCAGGGACAUUGCACACUAAUCAACAUUCAAAAUGUAAGUGAGCCAGAGUUAGCCUGAGAGGGUAGUUUUCAUCUGUUGUCCCCUGCCAGAUAUUCAAAAGGCAACCUAAAAUUACAGAAAUAAAAUGCAUAUAAACAAAGAUUAAAAAACAACAUAGUCGUAAGAAUGAAUUGACAGACAAUAGCAAACAAACAAUAAAAUAAGCAGACAAUAAAACAAUAGAACAGUGUACAUUAAACAUUUUAGGAAAGUGCACAAAACAGUAGAUUAGAGCUGGACAAAUGCACCUACAAUAAAAACACAUUCAGCAGCAAAUGUGUUGCUGUGAGUUAAUCUAAUGUGAGCCAUCCACCAGUAGAGCUUUUGAUGGCUGAAGACCCUGCCCUUUAGGAGUGAAACUAAGGCCUUAAAAAAAAAAAUGUUUGGUUCCGGUUUCCGACCGACCCUGUCCAUUUAUGUGCAAACCAAAUUAUUUUAUGAGCUUUAUAAAAAAAAAAAAAAAAGAAUUAAUGCAUACUAUAAUUACGUUUUUGUACAGCACCUCUUCAUUCUGUACAAGGAUGAGCGAAUUUUCUCGUUUUUCAAUGAAAACAACCUACCUAUCAUUCGCUGCCGCUGGAAAAAAUAAAAUAAAUUCCCUACCUACCCAUGACCUCAACUGACAACCAACAGGUAACAAACUUUUUUUUUUUAGGCCUAAUUCAUUGAGGUUUUCCAGGUCAAAGAUCUGUGUGGUGGAAAACGUGCAGAGCUUACUGCACACCUUCACCAACUUCUUCAGGACAACCUGAACCUCAUACUGCACACAGCCUGCUACUAAGUUGACAGAAGGCUUUUAAUACAAUUCAUGUUGGCCAACAAGCACUAGGGCUUUGACUUUUGCCCAAAAAUCAUAAUCGAAGUUUGUUUGUUUAAUAUUCGAAUAUUUAUAAUAUUUUGACCAUUAAAUGCCUUCAGUAUGACCUAUAUGGUAUAAAACUUCAGUUGUAUACGUUUAGUCCAGAGGGCAGUGUUAAAGGUCAACGUCAAAUUCAUACUCUGCAGUCACGUGACUACCAUGGCUACCUGGAGGGCAACAAACGCCGACUAAAGGGCGACGAACAGCGGCCAGCGAGGGGAAUUGCAGAUUUCCAAUACGACAAUCGAUCAACUAUUACAAUUUUAGACCAUAAAUGUUCAAAUAAGAUAUCAAAAUAAGAUAAAAAUACUCGGAUUUUUUAAUCUAUACGCAGCAGCCGCUGAUGUGGUCAUUUCUUUGAAUUUGGCAACGUCUCGUCCCGACUUGGGAGUUUGGAGAUAUUUACAUUUAUGUUAUAGAGAAUCCGUCACCUUAUACCUGCACAAAAAAGGAAAGCCUACAAAAGUACGGAUAGCUAACUUUUAGUUAACUUUUUUCAAAAGUGGGUGGGUUAACAACAUUGUCGUAUGGGAGGUGAAAAACAGGAAAAUCUUCAUAAUCAAAGCUAAGGUGAGUGAGUAGGCUACUCUCUAGCUACCCGCAAAACGAUCAACAAAUAGUUUUUUUUCUGAAUCAAAUAACUUAAGUAGCUCGUUUAUUGACCAAUUAAUGUGGUAGCGUCCACACAAGUGCUAUACCUCCAUUCAUUUAGAUGAGCGGAAGAAAGCGUCUACUCCUCACGCUUUGGUCAGGCAAAGCGUGACACUGAACACACGUCUUGCGAGGUCGACCAACGUAUCUAUUUCACGCUUUGGCGUGAUACCGGGUUGAAAUUUUAAUAGAUUGCAAUACAAAAUGUAACCAUGAUACAUUUACAAUGCAAUACUGCCCCAUAGAGGCUAACCUCCGCCAAUGCAUUUUUGGUCCAAAUUGUAGUUAUUCUAGAAUAAUUUUCCUAGUAAAAGGAAAAAUCAUGAAACAUAAGAAAUGAUAACUAUUGAUUUUAAAUAGGGGACAAUAUAAAACAUAAAUUGAAUGAAAUAUUUUGAUGUUGAAACAAUGUUACAACAUAGGACUAAAACAUAGCUUCUCCAGGAAAUGUUCCAAAAAUGUUAAAGAAAAGAGACAAUCUUGUGGAUAAUGUACCUUCUUGACCUAAAAGAG
ensembl:lncRNA